rnacentral:rRNA from 1 species
UGGGGAAUAUUGCACAAUGGGCGCAAGCAUGAUGCAGCCAUGCCGCGUGUAUGAAGAAGGCCUUCGGGUUGUAAAGUACUUUCAGCGAGGAGGAAGGCGUUGUGGUUAAUAACCGCAACGAUUGACGUUACUCGCAGAAGAAGCACCGGCUAACUCCGUGCCAGCAGCCGCGGUAAUACGGAGGGUGCAAGCGUUAAUGGGAAUUACUGGGCGUAAAGCGCACGCAGGCGGUCUGUCAAGUCGGAUGUGAAAUCCCCGGGCUCAACCUGGGAACUGCAUCCGAAACUGGCAGGCUAGAGUCUUGUAGAGGGGGGUAGAAUUCCAGGUGUAGCGGUGAAAUGCGUAGAGAUCUGGAGGAAUACCGGUGGCGAAGGCGGCCCCCUGGACAAAGACUGACGCUCAGGUGCGAAAGCGUGGGGAGCAAACA